rnacentral:rRNA from 1 species
CCUACGGGGGGCAGCAGUAGGGAAUAUUGCUCAAUGGGGGAAACCCUGAAGCAGCAACGCCGCGUGGAGGAUGAAGGUUUUCGGAUUGUAAACUCCUUUUGUUAGAGAAGAUAAUGACGGUAUCUAACGAAUAAGCACCGGCUAACUCCGUGCCAGCAGCCGCGGUAAUACGGAGGGUGCAAGCGUUACUCGGAAUCACUGGGCGUAAAGAGCGCGUAGGCAGGAUAGCAAGUCAGAAGUGAAAUCCAUGGGCUUAACUCAUGAACUGCUUUUGAAACUGCAGAGCUUGAGUGGAGUAGAGGUAG